rnacentral:rRNA from 1 species
GUAAAGUCGUGUCGAGGAGGAGGGGUAAGACGGAGGGUGGAAGCGGUAAUCGGAAUCACUGGGGGUGAAGUGCACGUGGGGGGGAACGUAAGUCAGAUGUGUAAGCCCCGGGCUCAAUCUGGGAACGUCAUGUGGGAGUGCUGCGGUCGAGUCUGAGAGAGGGGGGUGGAAUUCCGGGUGUAGCGGUGAAAUGCGUAGAGAUCCGGAGGAACACCAGUGGCGAAGGCGGCCCCCUGGCUCAAGACUGACGCUGAGGUGCGAAAGCGUGGGGAGCAAACAGGAUUAGAUACCCCGGUAGUC